AUUGAACGCUGGCGGCAGGCCUAACACAUGCAAGUCGAGCGAGCGGCGGACGGGUGAGUCAUGUCUGGGAAACUGCCUGAUGGAGGGGGAUAACUACUGGAAACGGUAGCUAAUACCGCAUACCAUCAGAUGUGCCCAGAUGGGAUUAGCUAGUAGGUGGGGUAACGGCUAACCUAGGCGACGAGCCCUAGCUGGUCUGAGAGGAGGACCAGCCACACGUGAACUGAGAAAAGGUCCAGACUCCUUGGGGCGGCAGCAGGGGGGAAUAUUGCUCAAUGGGCGAAAGCCUGAUGCAGCCAUGCCGCGUGUGUGAACAGGUCAUUCGGGUUGUAAAGCACUUUCGGUGGGGAGGCGUUACCCUCAGAAGAAGCCCCGGCUAACUCCGUGCCAGCAGCCGCGGUAAUAC
rnacentral:rRNA from 1 species